rnacentral:tRNA from 1 species
AGGGGUAUAGUUUAACGGUAAAACAACGGUCUCCAAAACCGUCGAUCGGGGUUCGAUUCCUCGUACCCCUGCCA